rnacentral:rRNA from 1 species
UACGAAGGGGGCUAGCGUUGCUCGGAAUCACUGGGCGUAAAGCGCACGUAGGCGGCUUCUUAAGUCAGGGGUGAAAUCCUGGAGCUCAACUCCAGAACUGCCUUUGAUACUGAGGAGCUUGAGUCCGGGAGAGGUGAGUGGAACUCCGAGUGUAGAGGUGAAAUUCGUAGAUAUUAGGAAGAACACCAGUGGCGAAGGCGGCUCACUGGUCCGGUACUGACGCUGAUGUGCGAAAGCGUGGGGAGCAAACAGG